ACGGCCUUUUAUUGUAUGUUAAUACAUGUUCACUAAUAACCAUCAAUUCUUUUUUCUGGUUCACAGGAUACAUGACGUUGGUGAGUAGCUUUCUCAUGGAAUUCAGGAAUAAGUGUUGAACUGUCACUAUUGUAAGAUAUACGGUAUUAACAUGCUGAGGGGCUUUAGAUAAGAGUUAUGUUUAGAAACAUGAGGGAGGAAUUUAAACGUUAACCUUCAUUUAAAGAAACAGUCCAAGCACCACAACCACCGCAGCACCAUGUAGUGGUUAUGGGACCCUGACCAAUGUAAGUAGUCAAACCAUUUGUUAAUGGCUGGGCAUUGGUCACUGCCUCCACAGAGAGAAGGAUGCUUCUUCAAGGGACUUCAGUUAUCUUUGCUUAGAUAAAUCCUGCCGUAAAUUGAUCACCCUCAGCCAAUGAGCUAAGCCAUGCACUGCCAGGCUUAUCUUAACGCAUGAAGCUUCCAUCCGUCAUGGAAGGCAUAACUGGCACCCGGAGGAUCCCUUGCGACAUCAGGUGUCUUUGGGAACUCACUAUAUACAUCCAUAUAGUAACCAGAAAUAGGUCUCAACAUACCCCCUACUCAGAGAGUACACAAUAAUUACCAAAUAAUAGAAUAGAAGAACAUACGACUUGACUGUCCUGUAAAACUCGUGGGUUUCCUCCUUAAAAUUUAAUAGAAAUAACUGAGUAACAGAAAUAUAAAACCUUGAGGGUGAGAGAGUAAAAAUAGAAUUAUUGUAAAAUGAUCCACGAUUCCACUAUAUGGAAAUAAAAUUAAAAUGGGUUGAAAUACCCUUCGUCAAUGGGUUUUGGAGAGGACUAUUUGCCAGCCGGUUGCCCCAGGGUUACUCUAAAACUUUGUCCCAGGACUGUGGAAAGAUUUGUUCGUGCCUUUUCCCCAUGUGGUUCGGUAUAUGGGGUUUCCAAACAAACUACCGAACAGGCGGACCACCGCAAGUGGAGUGUGCUGUUUGUACCCCCCAGAAGCUGUGGUUAACCGCAGCUAAUUCACAAACGGCUUGGUGGUUGCCGUUUGUAAAGCCGAACACGUGGCAGCGGUCAUCUUGUUUAGCCAAAUGUGGUCAGCGGUGUUUUGCCGUUGAGUUCAUGGAAUUAAAAUCGGACAUUUGGCGGCACCAACACCGUUGGGACUUCCACCUCCAUACAAGUUCACUAAAAUGCAUACGAACAGAGCACCGUUCUGUAGAAGUAAUCUACCAAACCAACUUCCAAGUAAUACUGUAUGCACGAAUGGCUCAGUUCGUAUAUUCGAACUGUAUUGGAACUAUGUGAAAUAGACCGGCCGCACAGCCUAAUUCCCUAUUUUGGGCAUGAAGCCAUGCUUGUGGCCGGUCAAAAAGAGACUUCCAGGAAUUUCCUGAACCUCUGCUGUGAUCUGGGUGAUUUUUGGAUAUGUUGUUCACCCAGAUCAGGGCUAUCUGGGGAUAUGGAGAUAUGUUACGGUUUGGGGUGUUUUCUGUACUUUGUGUAAAAUGUGGUUUUUCUGUCUGGAGAUUAAGUUAAGUUACUUACAGUACUUUACUCAAUUAUCUCCCAGGCAGAGGGGAGGGAUUGUGUUCUGUGUGUGGGAGUGUCAUUCCUUGUACCAUUGUUCCUAUUGGUUUGUGUACUUUGUGUUCCUGUGCCCCACCAGGUCCAGGGGGUGUUCCUCUGACCUGAAACACUGUAUAUAAAUCCAACCUGUGCAAUAAACCUGCAGUUCUACUUGACCCUCAACUCACAGCCUCGUCUCGUGUUUGGAGGGGACAGCUAUAAUCACUACAGGGAUUGCUAUACUCUGUAUACUCCCUUAGCUUCACUAGCUCUUGUGAAAGCUGUUCCUGUUUGACUCUUUUUGGAGUAGGAGAGGUCCUGACCCACUGGGACCUGGAGCCUUAUCGUAGGUCCAGGAUGGGUAGAAGACAGCAAGACCCCAACCAAGGUGUGGCAGUUAGUGGGGUCUGCAGUGCUUAUGGUGUCUGGUGCGGUGCUGAUGGUCCUUGGUAAGUACUAGGAGCAUCCGUUGGCAGAGGUACCCAGCUGGGGUACAGGGAGCUCCGUCACAAUGAGUUUAGCCAGUUUGACUCCUUUACCCUGUAAGAUGACCCCUGUAUUACAGCUAAAGAGACAAAUGUAAAUAAUAAUAUUACAUCAGAGUGUCCCUUUAAGACAUGGCUUAGGAAACUAGCAGGUCAGGUCAUUGUAUGUGGACCCAACAGACUUGUGGGAUGGAAAUCUGCUAAUGUGACAGUACAAGUUGUGCUUAGCUGCACAUAUCGCAUUCUGGGAGAGCUGUCUUAUGAUGUGUUCAUAAUGUAGUACAGUGCAUUUAAGUAUUUAUAGCAGAGUUUAUGUCAGUUUUGGUCUAUACACAAAUAUAAAAAGAUAAAGAUAGACACAUACAGGGUUGGCCAUAUUUACCAUAACAAUAUUAAAGUGCUAUCUCAGUCAAUUCAAUGCAGAAAUUCAUUCCAUUUACUACAAGUCUGGAGCUAAUUCUCAUCCAGCAAUAAAGUCUGUCACAAGAGAAAUGCAUUAAAUAUAAAAUCUUGGCCAGCACAAUGCCGCAGUUCCUAAUAUUUGUUUUCUUAUUUUUCCCACAAGAAACAUUUGCUGAUUUUAGGUAUUGUAUCUAUGGUGAUAUUUGUCUGGAUAUGGAACUGCUAAAACACGUUCGAGAUGACCCCAGAAAUAAAAUUAGUUUCAAGCAGGGAGGCGGAGCUGACGUCGGAGCUGCAUGGACAUGCUGUAAACCCUCUCCGAGGCAGCUUUCCACAAAAUCCAAUUACAUUGGGCUACAAACCCAAAAUGGGACUCCCCAAGAAAUCCCUUGCCUCACAGCAAGCUUCAGGGAAACAUCCCCCGGGCAAAUCUGGAGUCCUGACGAAAUGUUUUUUUGACAACGCAGAACAGCAACAAGGAGCAACAGGCCUCAACAUGGCGCCUGAAUUAUCCCAAGAUUGCCCGGCACUGUCCAGUUCAGAGGGCUCUGCAAACUCAGUAUGUACUACAGACCUAGAGAUCAGGGAUGCUUUACGAAACCUACCCUCCAAAAGCGACAUCACCAACAUGCUGGGGAAACUGGAAGUUUAAUUCCAAAUGAAACUGGAGGCUAUUGGAGCGGGCAUCCACCAUGUGAGGGACAGAGUCUCUUCCUUGGAAGACGGCCGCGAUGUGCUCUUUACUCGGUUACAACAUUUGCAAGCUGAAGUCACAUCCCAUACUUACCUCCUCUCCAGGAUGCAACAAAGAAACCUACCCUCCAAAAGCGACAUCGCCAACAUGCUGUGGAAACUGAAAGUUUAAUUCCAAACUAAACUGGAGGCUAUUGGCGCGGACAUCCGCCAUGUGGGGGACAGAGACGACCGCGAUGUGCUCUUUACUUGGUUACAACAUUUACAAGCUGUAGUCACAUCCCAUACUUACCUCUUCUCUGGGAUGCAACGCACGAUGGAUGAUACAGACAACCGUGGCCGCCGCAACAACUUGCGGAUCAAAGGGUUCCAGAAGUGGAUCAGGAGGACCUCCAAUUGCAGCUAAGGGAGCUCUUCAAUUUCCUCCUCCAUAGGCCUCUGGAGGCUCAGGUACUGUUUGACCGUGCACACAGGGCAUGGAAAUCAAGGGGAGCGCCUAAUACAGCCCCAUGAGAUGUCAUCUGUAGGCUACAUUAUUUCUCCAUUAAAGAGGAUAUAAUGAGAGCGCCAAGCCAAACAUCUCAGCCAUUGUUAUUCCAUAAUGCUUCCUUACAAAUUCAUCCUGAUCUAUCCUGGGCAACGCUCCAAGCCAGGAAAAUGCUAAGACCCAUUACCGACCAACUCCGCUCACGCAACAUUAGAUAUAGAUGGGGAUUCCCUUUUGCCCUCAUAGCGAUGUACAAUGGUUCAUUCCAUACCUUAUCCUCAUAUCGAGAUGUGUCUGUGUUCACUAGGGCACUGGAUUUACCCAACAUUAGUAUACCGGACUGGUGCGGAGCCAUACAGUCGGCCCAGAACACACAAGCGGCACAGCGCCAAAGGGAGCAAACUCCAUCAUAACGGAGAAAACAUGACCAAAGUGGGACCAACAGGGAGUACCCCUUCCUUCCCGACAGCAGUUCUGCAGGCCCAUCUGCAGAUGGCCCAUCCUAAACUGGGUCACUCCAAUAUUGGAAUGCCCCUUUACGGAAUCGCCACACUUCGCGCUCACUGACGAUCUAAUACAAUUGGACUCUACUGCAUGGACUUUGUCUUGCUCCCACUACACCAUUCCUCAACUACCGGACACUCCACACCCACUGAAUACUGGACAUUCCAGCCCAACUUGUUUUUGUUCCAUCACAGCUAGCGCUGGUGAACAGGAGACUGCUGACUGCGGGACACUGCAACACCCACAAGGACUAGUUUCUAUUUCCCUCACAGUUUGAAGAGCAGCAGAAAGUUCUGGCUCAUUGGGGGAAGCAAGAAACACUCCACUGAUGCAAUUCAAGGCUAACACACAAGUCAGUAAGGCUAUGUGGAGCCAAUGAUGGUUGUUUCUUCCCUAUUUAAUGAUAUUUUCUUAUACACCUGUAAACUGUACCCUAUGUUAAUUUCUCCUCCUAGCUCACUCUCUAAAUCCUAAGUUUCCCUCCCCCAAAUCUCUGCUCCCUCACUCUACCACUCGCAAUAUUGUGUAUUAUAUUUCUACUAUACCCCACACCACCUUUAGACAGGUGGAGUGGGGGAGUGUGGGGUCUUUCCUAUGUGGGAAGGGGGUGGGAGUUUUCUCCACAAUUGUAAGGAUGCGGAAAUUGGAGGGAUCUCAAGAUCUUGCCUGUUAUAAGGCUAUAUUAGGAGCACACCAAAAUUAUCCAUUUGGAUAUAUCGUAGUGACACCAAAAAAAGGUCACAAUACACCUGUUUUGUUUCUUGCUAUUAACCUCACUAUCACUAUACUGUACAUAGUUAUUAUUACUGUUUUGUUAGUUCAGAACUACUUGCUGGGACAGGUCUGCGCACCAACACUAAUCACUUGUCUGCUCAUGGCUUUGAUUAGGAUAAUUACCCUAAACGCCAGCUGACUCAACAGUCUGGAAAAACGAACACUUGCACUCAAAGAUUUCCAAAAUAUGAAGGUGGACGUAGUCCUUGUUCAGGAGACUCAUUUCAAGGGGGUUGGGGCACCAACCCUUAGAAAUAGCAAAUUGGGAGUGGCAAUUCUCAUAGCAUCCCAGGUCCCGUUGACUUAUAAAGAACAUUAUUCUGACAAUUCUGGUAGAAUAAUACUAGUCAAGUGCCAACUUGUCCAUAAUAUGGUGAUAUUGGCAAACCUUUACCUUCUCAAUAAACACCAGAGUAGAUCCUUCCGUAACUACCUUCGGAGUUGACAGAGUAAGGGGCUCUCACCCCAUUUUAGAGGAUGAGUAUAUGCAUUACAUAGACACACGGGCUCAAGGUCCACCAGACAGGGCACAUCUUUGUGUCUCCCGUGAGUGCAUAGAAAUAUACUCCUAGGUUUCAGAUGACAGGACACAUAUCCCACAACUGAAGCCACACUGGUCUAUAGAAUCACAAAUAUUGCAGACUUGUAACUAAAUGUCACUGUAAUAUAUUUGUAAUGUGUUAUUGGUUAUAUGGCAAAUUUUACGUUACCAUUUCAAUGCUAUGCUACCAUGGAAAUGACGAUUCUUUCUGUUACAAUGUACCAGAGGUGGCGAGACCGCUACCCGACGGUGAAUUGACCCUUUUCUAUGUGUGGAUAUAUUACCAUGUAACGUGUGUAUGCUGCUUGGACAUUCCCCUUUUUCGCACACUUUCUCCAUUCUGGUAGUGGGAACUGGGGACAAAGGGAGGGGACACUGAAUGGCAGGAAAAAAGGAAAAAGGGACUGUGGGUCCCGGUUCUGUUAUAAGACCCCUGGGAGGAGGAGGUCCCUGGGAGGGGACAUUGUGUCUUAUGUGUUCCCCCCCUUGCAUGGGGAAAUGUAUAAAAGCCGCCUGUGGCAAAUAAAGUUUGUUCUACCCCUGGAACUGUGUGUUGACCGGUCUUUGGGGGGGAUGGGUCUGUUCUUCCAACUAUAGCGGAGGUAACCAGCAGGGUUUACCCAGGUCCCGCUACACCGCUAAAAAAAAAUAAAAUAAUUAGUUUCAAGCAAAGACACACUCCAGAUAUCUGCGGCCAUGAGAAGGAAGGAGACAGAUAUGACCAUCAACAAGACAACGACAAACAUAAACAAGGAUUUAGAUGCCACAAAGAAAACAGGCCAAAAACAAGAUAAAAAUAACAUUAUAAAAAGGAGCCGUUACAGAACAUCUCCAAGGCCACAUACAUCGAGACAGCCAUAAUACUGGAGGAAAACAAGUUCCGUCCAUGCAACUCCUUGCCUAUUGUAUCUCAAAGGUUCCACAAACCAGAACUGGUGAAGAGAACAAGCGCCUGCCCCAGGAGGGUGCUUUCUUUGCUGUGAAAAUAUUUCUGCAUGGACACAAUAGACAUUAAUAAUAAUUCAUAACUACUAUUACUACAAAUCAAUAAAAACUAGAGAAUGAUGAGCCAAUAAGGCCAUGAAAGUGCAUGCUGGGAAUUAUUAUGAUGCAUUAUGGUCCAUGAAUAAUUGACCGGUAAUGUGAUAAAAAUUUAUUUUUAAAAAAUCCCCAAACAGGGUGUCAGAGCUAUUUUUCUGUUACCAAAAGAGUAAAUAAGCUUUUAAGUGAAAUAGUGCUAAUGAGGAUUAGAAAUGUCCAAGUCUAAUAAAGUAGAUCUAUGCUUUA